rnacentral:rRNA from 1 species
CCUACGGGAGGCAGCAGUGGGGAAUAUUGGACAAUGGGGGGAACCCUGAUCCAGCGACGCCGCGUGAGUGAAGAAGUAUUUCGGUAUGUAAAGCUGUAUCAGCAGGGAAGAAAGAAAUGACGGUACCUGACUAAGAAGCCCCGGCUAACUACGUGCCAGCAGCCGCGGUAAUACGUAGGGGGCAAGCGUUAUCCGGAUUUACUGGGUGUAAAGGGAGCGUAGACGGCGAUGCAAGUCUGAAGUGAAAGGCCGGGGCCCAACCCCCGGACUGCUUUGGAAACUGUAUGGCUGGAGUGCAGGGGAGGCAAGUGGAAUUCGUAGUGUAGCGGUGAAAUGCGUAGAUAUUAGGAGGAACCCCAGUGGCGAAGGCGGCUUACUGGACUGUAACUGACGUUGAGGCUCGAAAGCGUGGGGAGCAAACAGGAUUAGAUACCCUUGUAGUC